ACCAAAUUGCCCUGUAACGGGACGGAAUUCGAAACCUCCAGAAGAUUCCAUCCAACUCUUAUUCCAACACGUCCAAGUCCUGCUAAGUGGUAACAUGGGCCAAAGUCCAACCUUUCAGGCGCACGGCGGCUUAUGGCAUUCCAGGAGGUG
rnacentral:ribozyme from 1 species